rnacentral:lncRNA from 1 species
UCUCUCUUUCCCAGCCAUGGCCUCUCAGCCACCAGUCACCUCUUCCCCCAACCCCCUGACCUCCCACUUCUCUUCUCAAUUCAACUGCUCUUCAGGAUUUCUGGUUGCACUACCUCUGGAGACAAGACUCUAGCAUUUGUUCUUGCCUGCCAUGGGAAGCUUUGGGAAGAAGCCAGCUGCCAUGUUGUGAGAACUCUCAAGCAGCUGUGUGGAGAGAUCCAUGUGGUGAGGAACUGAAGCCUCCUACCCACCAUCAAGUCAGUGGCUCACUACUGUUGCAGUGAAUUCUCCAGCCCAUGAAGACUUUAGAUGAUUUACCCAACAUCUUGAUUAUAGCCUCAUGGAUUCCCUGAGCCAGAACAACCCAGCUAAGCCUCUCCUGAAUUCCUUACCUACAGAAACUGUGAGAUAAUAAAUAUUUAU